rnacentral:rRNA from 1 species
AUUGAACGCUGGCGGCAGGCCUAACACAUGCAAGUCGAACGAGCGGCGGACGGGUGAGUAUUGUCUGGGAAACAGCCUGAUGGAGGGGGGGAACUACUGGAAACGGUAGCUAAUACAGCAUACCAUCAGAUGUGCCCAGAUGGGAGUAGCGAGUGGGGGGGGGAACGGCUCACCAAGGCGACGAUCCCUAGCUGGUCUGAGAGGAUGACCAGCCACACUGGAACUGAGCCACGGUCCAGACUCCUACGGGAGGCAGCAGUGGGGAAUAUUGCACAAUGGGCGCAAGCCUGAUGCAGCCAUGCCGCGUGUAUGAAGAAGGCCUUCGGGUUGUAAAGUACUUUCAGCGGGGAGGCGUUACCCGCAGAAGAAGCACCGGCUAACUCCGUGCCAGCAGCCGCGGUAAUUC